rnacentral:rRNA from 1 species
AACGAACGCUGGCGGCAUGCCUAACACAUGCAAGUCGAACGAGACCUUCGGGCCUAGUGGCGCACGGAUGCGUGACGCGUGGGAACCUGCCCUUGGGUUCGGCAUAACUCCCCGAAAGAGGUGCGAAUACCGGAGCAUAUAUUCCAUCCAAAGAGUUAUCGCCUUUGGGUGGGCGCGCGUUGCAUACGCUUGUUGGUAGGGUAAAAGCCUACCACGGCGACGAUCCGUAACUGGUCUGAGAGGAUGAUCAGCCACACUGGGACUGAGACACGGCCCAGACUCCUACGGGAGGCAGCAGUGGGGAAUAUUGGACAAUGGGCGAAAGCCUGAUGCAGCAAGGCCGCGUGAGUGAUGAAGGCCUUGGGGUUGUAAAGCUCUUUUACCCGGGACGAUAAUGACAGUACCGGGAGAAUAAGCUCCGGCUAACUCCGUG